rnacentral:lncRNA from 1 species
UAAAGAUAUUACUUUAACCUCAAAGCUGUUCAGGCUGAGUACAUUUGACAAAUGUUAAUGUUCAGUUGACUUGACAACAUUAAGAAAGUUGUAGUCAUUCAUCAGAUGUGUUUAGAUGUCAAUUUGUGCCAUCUAUGGUCAAGAGAAAAAGUUAAUUAAAAUGUGUGUGUCUCUGGAAAAUUAAGGUUAAACCACUGAUGUCACAUGUACUAUUUUAACAAUGUCCUUACUACGUUUCUGCGCCUGGGAACAUUUCAGUUACAUUGCUAUCUAUGGAGGGUUUUGAUUUCAUCAAAAAUAUCUUCUUAAUUUGUGUUUCAAAGAUCUUACGGGUUUGGAAUGACAUGAGGGUGAGUAAUUAAUGACAGCAAUGAAUGCCAUUUUUGGGUUAAUUAAGGGUCCUCAUCACUUAUUUUGAGUCUAGUUUCUUUUCAAUGAAUCUAAUUUGUAAUUCGAACAGCUCACGCACACUCAUUCGCUUACAAUGUCUUUUCAAAUAUUAAAAACAUUAACGGUAUAACUUUCAGUACUUCCGAACAAAGAAGUUCUUCAUCACAUUCAACACCCGCACAUGCAGCAAGCAAACAACUUUGGACUGCAGACCCUACAGAGCUUCUGAUCUGUUCCUGUGUCUGUGCAGCUGAGAGUUUCAAGCAGAUGAAAGACUGGAGUCCCUGUAAGUGCAUGAUUGCUUUGUCCUUGAACCCUGCGGUUGCAUGAUAUGUCCCAGAGGCUGUGAGAUCUCUGUGUAAUCCUCUCUAUAGGCACACAUCCUUGUGGAGUGUGGCCCAGCAAGCUGGGCAUUUUAUUGUUUUUGUAGUGCACAUCGCUUGUCUAAUGCCAGCAUGGUCAAAGAGCAAUUAUAUGACAAGCCUUCAGUUCUUCCUUCAGUUCUUCCUUCCUCAUUGUUUCUCUAGAGUGCAUUAAUGCAUCUCUUGUCAGGCACAAGGUGUUUUAUAGACAUUUACACCUUGAUAUAACAGACCAACAAAAACAGUUUGUUUUGAUAAUGCAUCAUUUUUAUGCCGUGUCAUGUUAGCAGAUUUUCCAAGAUAAAUGGGAUGUCGAUCUGUCUAGCAUGUAUGUGCAUCACAUACAGUUUGAAUGUUGGAUGCUGCUGUAUGUCACCAUGGAAACAUCCCAUGCUGUGAUUUUCCUUUUGUAUGAGGGCGUU